GAUGAACGCUGGCGGCGUGCCUCAAACAUGCAAGUCGAGCGGGGCUAUGUAAUAUCGCAAGGUAGAACAUAGCCUAGCGGCGAACGGGUGAGUAACACGUGGGUAACCUGCCUGGAAGACAGGGAUAACGAUUCGAAAGGGUCGCUAAUACCUGAUAAUAUCCUUUCAUCGCAUGGUGAUAGGAAGAAAGGGGAAACCCGCUUUCAGAUGGGCCCGCGUCCCAUCAGCUAGUUGGUAAGGUAAAGGCUUACCAAGGCGACGACGGGUAGCCGGUCUGAGAGGAUGUACGGCCACACUGGGGACUGAGAUACGGCCCAGACUCCUACGGGAGGCAGCAGUUGGGAAUCUUAGGCAAUGGACGAAAGUCUGACCUAGCGACGCCGCGUGAGGGGAAGAAGGGCCUUCGGGUUGUAAACCUCUGUCAUGGGGGGAAGAGGUAAGUGACGUACCCGAAGAGGAAGCCCCUGCUAACCUACGGUGCCAGCGACGCCGGACGGUAAAAUAGGCCGUAACU
rnacentral:rRNA from 1 species